rnacentral:tRNA from 1 species
GCAGGAGUGGCGGAAUGGCAGACGCGCUGGACUUAGGAUCCAGUGGGGAAACCCGUGCAGGUUCAAGUCCUGUCUCCUGCA